CCUACGGGAGGCAGCAGUGAGGAAUAUUGGUCAAUGGGCGGAAGCCUGAACCAGCCAAGUAGCGUGCAGGAUGACGGCCCUACGGGUUGUAAACUUCUUUUAUAUGGGAAUAAAAUGUUCCACGUGUGGGAUUUUGUAUGUACCAUAUGAAUAAGGAUCGGCUAACUCCGUGCCAGCAGCCGCGGUAAUACGGAGGAUCCGAGCGUUAUCCGGAUUUAUUGGGUUUAAAGGGAGCGUAGGUGGAUUGUUAAGUCAGUUGUGAAAGUUUGCGGCUCAACCGUAAAAUUGCAGUUGAAACUGGCAGUCUUGAGUACAGUAGAGGUGGGCGGAAUUCGUGGUGUAGCGGUGAAAUGCUUAGAUAUCACGAAGAACUCCGAUUGCGAAGGCAGCUCACUGGACUGCAACUGACACUGAGGCUCGAAAGUGUGGGUAUCAAACAGGAUUAGAUACCCUGGUAGUC
rnacentral:rRNA from 1 species